UAUAAUUCUCCAAAGCCUUCGUUUUUACUGCCUUUCUUCUUCUUCUUUCCGCCAUAGCAUUCCUUCACUAUAAUUCUCCAAAGCCUUCUUCCUAUUGCCUUUCCUCUUCCACUAUCCCAUUAAACCAUUCUUCGCUGUUAUUCUUCCAUAGCCAUCUUCCUCUGGCCUAUAUUAUACCCCUUUCUUCCAUAGCCAUUCUUCACUUUCAUUCUCCAAAGCCUUCCUCCUAUUGCCUUUCUUCUUCUUCUUUCCGCCAUAGCAUUCCUUCACUAUAAUUCUCUAAAGCCUUCUUCCUAUUGCCUUUCCUCUUCCACUAUCCCAUUAAACCAUUCUUCGCUGUUAUUCUUCCAUAGCCAUCUUCCUCUAGCCUAUAUUAUACCCCUCUCUUCCAUAGCCAUUCUUCACUUUCAUUCUCCAAAGCCUUCCUCCUAUUGCCUUUCUUCUUCUUCUUUCCGCCAUAGCAUUCCUUCACUAUAAUUCUCUAAAGCCUUCUUCCUAUUGCCUUUCCUCUUCCACUAUCCCAUUAAACCAUUCUUCGCUGUUAUUCUUCCAUAGCCAUCUUCCUCUAGCCUAUAUUAUACCCCUCUCUUCCAUAGCCAUUCUUCACUUUCAUUCUCCAAAGCCUUCCUCCUAUUGCCUUUCUUCUUCUUCUUUCCGCCAUAGCAUUCCUUCACUAUAAUUCUCCAAAGCCUUCUUCCUAUUGCCUUUCCUCUUCCACUAUCCCAUAAAACCAUUCUUCGCUGUUAUUCUUCCAUAGCCAUCUUCCUCUAGCCUAUAUUAUACCCCUUUCUUCCAUAGCCAUUCUUCACUUUAAUUCUCCAAAGUCUUCUUCCUAUUGCCUUUCCUCUUCCACUAUCCCAUUAAACCAUUCUUCGCUGUUAUUCUUCCAUAGCCAUCUUCCUCUAGCCUAUAUUAUACCCCUUUCCUCCAUAGCCAUUCUUCACUAUAAUUCUCCAAGGCCUUCUUCCUAUUGCCUUCCUUUAUAUAUUUUUUUCAGGGCCCAUGCCAUGAAGUUGAACGUAGAGGGGCAAGGCUAAGAAAAGUAUGGGUCACCGCUUCUUUCACUUUUUUUGCAGCUUUGAAAUUAUUUGCUUCGGAAACAGGUUGGGAGGCCAUGCCCUGCCUCCCCCCGGUGGCGUGGGCCCUCUUCUUCCAUGGCCGUUCUAAUAGUUCUCCACUGUCAUCUUCCUAUUGCUUUUCCACAGUCUUUGCCUGUCAUUUUCACGGCAGCCUAUUUCCAUGAUAAUAGUUCAGAAUUAAGGCAAUUUCUAUUGCUACAAGAAAAGCCUUUUAUUGCAGGCUUUCAUUGAAGUACUGCCAUCGUCUCUUUUAGUCACCUUCUAUGGACUGCUCCUGAAAUUCUGAAAACAGGUGUCCAAAAUUUGGACCAAGUUGGCUACGGCACAAAGGAAGGAGAUGUCUACAGCUUUGCUAUUGUAUCCUCGGAAAUUUGCACGCGCGAAAGCCCGUUUGAGAAGCUGUUUCUUACCAACAAAGAAAAGAUUGAACUAAUUGCUGGUAACACCACUCCUGCCAUCACCCGGAUUUGGAAUACUUACCUCGCAAGCAAGAAUACUGAGGCUGGCUCUCCAGUAAGGCCGUGUAUUGCACAGUCACAGUGGCCCGUAGAGCCAGAGCAAAGCAAGCCGUUGAGACUGGUGAGACUUCUUAUAAGUUGAUUUUUAAUUGGGACAGGGUAGGCAGCUAGCGUCUUUAUUUAAAGCAAGAUUUUCAACAAAAGCCUGUUUGUGGAAAGACUUUUACUUUCUAACACUGAUAUUUAGGAACUGCUCGUGUUUGUGCUUUCAUGCUACUUCCGUAAGAACGAGGCUCGCAGCUUCUCUAGGCCUUAGACCUUACGCCGGUCAACCAUGUUUCAAAUCUAAACGAGAAAACUAGCAGGAUAGUCCAACUAUUAUCUGGUAGUAGAAGCGAAUAUAUUUGGACAGGUGCCGUUAUUUGGACAGGUGCCAGGAAACCUCGAUUUUUGCGUAUUUGAGAAGAGACAUCAAGUCUUUGCAACUACUUUUCCUCAUCAAGAAAUAACUUUGAAAAUUGAAACAACAUGGCACAAUGCAAGCUUGGGAAGUGUUUUUCAAACUUCUUCUUGAAAGUGAAGCUUGUCUUGACUGCUAAAAUACCCAGACUGCCAGAUGAAUAAAAACCAAACUGCCGACAA